AAAGUUUUAAAAUAAAACUGACCCAAUUAGGAUUUAAAAUAAGGCCCAGUUGAAUUAAACUAAUCAGCCCAACUGAUAAAUAAAUAAAGGCCCAACUGUUUAAUAAAAUAAAAACCGGCCCAACCACUCCAUUAAAAACGGCCCAAGUCAAUUUAAUUUAAAAAUCGGCCCAUCAGGCCCAACCUCAAGCCCUACCUAGCCCAACUCUCCACCCUUCUUCUCCUUCCUCCCUAGCUGCGCCCCCUCUCCCCCAUUUCGUCUCUCUCUCUCUAUUUCACAGUCACUCCC
rnacentral:lncRNA from 1 species